rnacentral:rRNA from 1 species
GACGAACGCUGGCGGCGUGCCUAAUACAUGCAAGUAGAACGCUGAAGGAGGAGCUUGCUUCUCUGGAUGAGUUGCGAACGGGUGAGUAACGCGUAGGUAACCUGCCUGGUAGCGGGGGAUAACUAUUGGAAACGAUAGCUAAUACCGCAUAAGAGUAGAUGUUGCAUGACAUUUGCUUAAAAGGUGCAAUUGCAUCACUACCAGAUGGACCUGCGUUGUAUUAGCUAGUUGGUGGGGUAACGGCUCACCAAGGCGACGAUACAUAGCCGACCUGAGAGGGGGAUCGGCCACACUGGGACUGAGACACGGCCCAGACUCCUACGGGAGGCAGCAGUAGGGAAUCUUCGGCAAUGGACGGAAGGCUGACCGAGCAACGCCGCGUGAGUGAAGAAGGUUUUCGGAUCGUAAAGCUCUGUUGUAAGAGAAGAACGAGUGUGAGAGUGGAAAGUUCACACUGUGACGGUAUCUUACCAGAAAGGGACGGCUAACUACGUG